AAAUGAAUAGACGGGGACCCGCACAAGCGGUGGAGCAUGUGGUUUAAUUCGAAGCAACGCGAAGAACCUUACCAGGCCUUGACAUCCCCCCGGCCGGCCCGUAGCGGGGCCCUUCCUUCGGGACGGGGGAGACAGGUGGUGCAUGGUUGUCGUCAGCUCGUGUCGUGAGAUGUUGGGUUAAGUCCCGCAACGAGCGCAACCCUUGCCUUCAGUAGCCAGCACCUCGGGUGGGGACUCUGGAGGGACUGCCAGGGACAACCUGGAGGAAGGCGGGGACGACGUCAAAUCAUCAUGCCCCUUAUGGCCUGGGCUACACACGUGCUACAAUGGCGGCGACAGAGGGAUGCGACCCCGCGAGGGCGAGCGGACCCCAAAAAGGCCGCCCCAGUUCGGAUUGCAGUCUGCAACUCGACUGCAUGAAGCCGGAAUCGCUAGUAAUCGCGAAUCAGAAUGUCGCGGUGAAUACGUUCCCGGGUCUUGUACACACCGCCCGU
rnacentral:rRNA from 1 species